UACGUAGGGUGCAAGCGUUAAUCGGAAUUACUGGGCGUAAAGCGUACGCAGGCGGCUAUGUAAGACAGGUGUGAAAUCCCCGGGCCUAACCUGGGAACUGCAUUUGUGACUGCAUAGCUAGAGUCCGUCAGAGGGGGGUGGAAUUCCACGUGUAGCAGUGAAAUGCGUAGAGAUGUGGAGGAACACCGAUGGCGAAGGCAGCCCCCUGGGAUGAGACUGACGCUCAUGUACGAAAGCGUGGGGAGCAAACAGG
rnacentral:rRNA from 2 species